rnacentral:tRNA from 1 species
GAUCCCGUGGUGUAGUGGUUAUCACGUGCGCUGUACACGCGCAAGGCCCCCGGUUCGAUCCCGGGCGGGAACA